UGUCAUAUUCUUAUUUCCUCAGAUGGUUUGCCACUGUCUUUCAGGCAGAAAUCUAUGCUAUUUCUGCAUGUGUUAAAAUCAAUUUUGAUAUGUUAUUAUGCAUAAUUAUAACCUAUUAAAUAGUCAAUCUGCCUUAAAAGCACUUGAUAACUUCCACUUUAUUUCAAAACUUUUGUUGGUCAUUAUCAUUGUGGAACCGGUUACCAGGAAUAGAUUCAACUUUUUUUUGGUGCCAGAGCAUAAUGGGAUUGAGGGCAAUGAGGUUGCAGAUGGUUGGCCAAAGAUAGGCUUAUCAUCCUGUUAUUGAAUCUGAACCUAUCCUGGACAAAGGUCUUACUUUAACUCCUUUACAAAGAACUAAAGAGUUGCUUGCAUUGCAUAAAAAUUAAUCUAGGAUUGUUAUAGGGCACCCUCAUCUUAAAAGGCAUCUUCAC
rnacentral:lncRNA from 1 species